rnacentral:rRNA from 1 species
GACGAACGCUGGCGGCGUGCUUAACACAUGCAAGUCGAACGGAAAGGCCCUGCUUUUGUUGGGUGCUCGAGUGGCGAACGGGUGAGUAACACGUGAGUAACCUGCCCUUGACUUUGGGAUAACUUCAGGAAACUGGGGCUAAUACCGGAUAGGAGCUCCUGCUGCAUGGUGGGGGUUGGAAAGUUUCGGCGGUUGGGGAUGGACUCGGGGCUUAUCAGCUUGUUGGUGGGGUAGUGGCUUACCAAGGGUUUGACGGGUAGCCGGCCUGAGAGGGUGACCGGCCACAUUGGGACUGAGAUACGGCCCAGACGCCUACGGGGGGCAGCAGUGGGAAAUAUUGCACAAUGGGCGGAAGCCUGAUGCAGCAACGCCGCGUGCGAGAUGACGGCCUUCUGGUUGUAAACCGCUUUCGCCUGAGACGAAGCGUGAGUGACGGUAAUGGGUAAAGAAGCACCGGCUAACUACGUG